CCCGAGUUCAAUCCCCAGUACCUAAAAAAAAAAAAAAAGAGUACAUAGAUGAAUCUUGAAAGCUUUGUGCCAAGUGAAAGAAGCCAGACCUAAUUAAGCCACAUGUUGCAAACUCCAUUUAUAUGAAAUGUCCAGAAAAAUCAAAUCCACAGAGACAGAAAGUAGAUUAGUGGCCCUGGGGUGGGCUGAGGGGCAGUCUCAACAGAAAGUGACGGAUAAUGUAUAGGGGAUUUCUUUGGGGGUGAUGAAAAUACUCAGGAACUUGAGAGUGUAAGAUUAUAAAACUUUGUGAAUAUACUAGAAAUCAUUCAUAGCAUAGAAUUAUUUACCUUAAAAGGAUGAAACUUAAGAAUGGAGUUAUGUCUCAAUUUUUUUUUUUCAGAAAGUUACUAUUGGGAGUGAGGAUCCAUCCAGCUCCCUUCAAUAGACUCUGCCAUUGUGUAGAAAAUGACCUGAGAGCCACAAGAGAAAUCAAUUCCAGUCAAAGGAGUUGUGAAAAAAAUUUUUUUUAAGUGGAGCCAGUAUUUUAAGAUUUUCCAGGUCAUGGAAAAAUAUACACUAAGAACACGAAAACAACACAGUCUCUCCAAUGGCACAAAAUUUAAUCCUCAUUGUUUAAAUAAAGUCAGGCCAGUUUAAUAAGGGGGAGUGUUCCUUGCCCGCCGUGAAAUGAUCCAUUAUGAUGCAUUAAUAGGAAAAACACUAUUACAAGUCAUUACUACUUUUCCUGGCUGGUCCCAAUUUUGUCAUUUACCAUGCUUUCUUUUUCAAAGCUUUCUCCCCCAACCCCUUGGCUACAAAAGUAAUACAGAUUCACUGUUUAAAUUUUGAAAAAUAAGAGGAAAAUAAAAAUAAAUAAAUAACUGCAGAAAACGCUUUCAACUCACCAUUAAAAAACUGUUUUUCC
rnacentral:lncRNA from 1 species